rnacentral:rRNA from 1 species
UACAGAGACUGCAAGCGUUAUUCGGAUUCAUUGGGCGUAAAGGGUGCGUAGGUGGCGCUGUAAGUGGGGUGUGAAAUCCCGGGGCUUAACUCCGGAACUGCAUUCCAUACUGCGGUGCUUGAGGACUGGAGAGGAGACUGGAAUUUACGGUGUAGCAGUGAAAUGCGUAGAGAUCGUAAGGAAGACCAGUGGCGAAGGCGGGUCUCUGGACAGUUCCUGACACUGAGGCACGAAGGCCAGGGGAGCAAACGGG